UACAGAGGUCUCAAGCGUUGUUCGGAUUCAUUGGGCGUAAAGGGUGCGUAGGUGGCGCCGUAAGUCGAGUGUGAAAUUCGUGGCUUAACUCCGAAACUGCAUUGAUACUGUGGUGCUUGAGGACUGGAGAGGAGACUGGAAUUCAUCGGUGUAGCAGUGAAAUGCGUAGAGAUCGAUGAGGAAGACCAGUGGCGAAGGCGGGUCUCUGGACAGUUCCUGACACUGAGGCACGAAGGCCAGGGGAGCAAACGGG
rnacentral:rRNA from 1 species